UUUUCAUAUAUAUUUGACCAUCAUGCGAUGCUUAGAAGUUGCCAAAUUUAACCUCUGAAGUUGGUUAUCGCGUGCGAACUUUUCCGCCGCCAUAUUGAUGCCGUGUGACGUCAUAAGAUGAACGGAAACGAAGAUAUGAAGGUCGUAUUUGUAGUAAAUUAUAUGGCACGUCAACAUAUUGCCGUGGAAUUUUUGUCUAUUUCACUUGUUUAUGCGCAGAUAACUGAUUUUUAAAAAUCGAAGAACAAGUGCUAUAUCUUAUUGUUUAUUUGACGGCGAAAUGACGGAUAGAGAUUCAGAUAAUAGGGACAGUACUGCAUCUGGAAGUCAACGAGUAUGGACUCGGCUAAGUCGGCUUUGAAAUACGAUGAUGAACCAGUUGCCUAACAGCAUUUAUACAAUAUGAAAUUGGUCGAAGACCCGUACUCAGG